rnacentral:rRNA from 1 species
GACUCCGAGUGCGAGGGCAUAUAGCCCUCGCUUUUCUGUACCGUAAGGUGGUACAAGAAUAAGGACUGGGCAAGACCGGUGCCAGCCGCCGCGGUAAUACCGGCAGUCCAAGUGAUGGCCGAUAUUAUUGGGCCUAAAGCGUCCGUAGCCUGCUGUGUAAGUCCAUUGGGAAAUCGACCAGCUCAACUGGUCGACGUCCGGUGGAAACUACACAGCUUGGGGCCGAGAGACUCAACGGGUACGUCCGGGGUAGGAGUGAAAUCCUGUAAUCCUGGACGGACCACCAAUGGGGAAACCACGUUGAGAGACCGGACCCGACGGUGAGGGACGAAAGCCAGGGUCUCGAACCGGAUUAGAUACCCGGGUAGUCCUGGCUGUAAACAAUGCUCGCUAGGUAUGUCACGCGCCAUGAGCACGUGAUGUGCCGUAGUGAAGACGAUAAGCGAGCCGCCUGGGAAGUACGUCCGCGAGGAUGAAACUUAAAGGAAUUGGCGGGGGAGCACCACAACCGGAGGAGCCUGCGGUUUAAUUGGACUCUACGCCGGACAUCUCACCGGUCCCGACAGUAGUAAUGACAGUCAGGUUGACGACUUUACUCGACGCUACUGAGAGGAGGUGCAUGGCCGCCGUCAGCUCGUACCGUGAGGCGUCCUGUUAAGUCAGGCAACGAGCGAGACCCACACUUCUAGUUGCCAGCAACACCCUGCGGUGGUUGGGUACACUAGGAGGACUGCCAUUGCUAAAAUGGAGGAAGGAAUGGGCAACGGUAGGUCAGUAUGCCCCGAAUGGACCGGGCAACACGCGGGCUACAAUGGCUCUGACAGUGGGAUGCAACGCCGAGAGGCGACGCUAAUCUCCAAACGGAGUCGUAGUUCGGAUUGCGGGCUGAAACCCGCCCGCAUGAAGCUGGAUUCGGUAGUA